CUGGCUCAGAACGAACGCUGGCGGCGCGUCUUAAGCAUGCAAGUCGAACGGUAAGGGAGAGCUUGCUCUCCCCUAGAGUGGCGGACU
rnacentral:rRNA from 1 species